rfam:Bell pepper mottle tobamovirus, complete genome.
GUGUCUUGGAACGCGCGGGUCAAAUAUAAGUGGUUCACUUAUAUCCGUAGGCACGAAAAAUUGCGU